UGGCGAACGGGUGAGUAACGCGUGAGGAACCUGCCUCAAAGAGGGGGACAACAGUUGGAAACGACUGCUAAUACCGCAUAAGCCCACGGGUCGGCAUCGACCUGAGGGAAAAGGAGUGAUCCGCUUUGAGAUGGCCUCGCGUCCGAUUAGCUAGUUGGUGAGGUAACGGCCCACCAAGGCGACGAUCGGUAGCCGGACUGAGAGGUUGAACGGCCACAUUGGGACUGAGACACGGCCCAG
rnacentral:rRNA from 1 species